rnacentral:rRNA from 1 species
AUUGAACGCUGGCGGAAUGCUUUACACAUGCAAGUCGAACGGCAGCACGGGGGCAGCCCUGGUGGCGAGUGGCGGACGGGUGAGUAAUACAUCGGAACGUGCCCGGUCGUGGGGGAUAACGUAGCGAAAGUUACGCUAAUACCGCAUACGAUCUGAGGAUGAAAGCGGGGGACCUUCGGGCCUCGCGCGAUCGGAGCGGCCGAUGUCAGAUUAGGUAGUUGGUGGGGUAAAGGCCUACCAAGCCGACGAUCUGUAGCUGGUCUGAGAGGACGACCAGCCACACUGGGACUGAGACACGGCCCAGACUCCUACGGGAGGCAGCAGUGGGGAAUUUUGGACAAUGGGCGCAAGCCUGAUCCAGCCAUUCCGCGUGCAGGACGAAGGCCUUCGGGUUGUAAACUGCUUUUGUACGGAACGAAAAGGCUCUGGCUAAUACCUGGGGCUCAUGACGGUACCGUAAGAAUAAGCACCGGCUAACUACGUG